rnacentral:rRNA from 1 species
GAUGAACGCUAGCGGCAGAAUACAUGCAAGUCGAACGGUUGGUAGCAAUACCAAUAGUGGCGCACGGGUGCGUAACGCGUAACCAACCUACCCGAAUCUGGGGGAUAGCCCGCCGAAAGGCGGAUUAAUACCGCAUAAAACCACAGAACGGCAUCGUUUAAUGGUUAAAGAUUUAUUGGAUUCGGAUGGGGUUGCGUGCCAUUAGCUAGUUGGGGAGGUAACGGCUCACCAAGGCGACGAUGGCUAGGGGAGCUGAGAGGCUGGUCCCCCACACGGGCACUGAGAUACGGGCCCGACUCCUACGGGAGGCAGCAGUAGGGAAUAUUGGGCAAUGGGCGAGAGCCUGACCCAGCCAUGCCGCGUGCAGGAUGAAGGCUUUCUGAGUCGUAAACUGCUUUUGCCAGGGAAGAAAAAAGCGGAUGCGUCCGCUACUGACGGUACCUGGUGAAUAAGCACCGGCUAACUCCGUGCCAGCAGCCGCGGUAAUACGGAGGGUGCAAGCGUUGUCCGGAUUUAUUGGGUUUAAAGGGUGCGUAGGCGGCCGAUUAAGUCUGGGGUGAAAGCCCGUUGCUCAACAACGGAACUGCCCUGGAAACUGGUCGGCUUGAGUACAGACGAGGGUGGCGGAAUGGAUGCUGUAGCGGUGAAAUGCAUAGAUAGCAUCCAGAACCCCGAUUGCGAAGGCAGCUGCCUAGACUGUAACUGACGCUGAGGCACGAAAGCGUGGGGAGCGAACAGGAUUAGAUACCCUGGUAGUCCACGCCGUAAACGAUGGAUACUCGCUGGUGGCGAUAGACGGUCACUGGCUUAGCGAAAGCGUUAAGUAUCCCACCUGGGGAGUACGCU